UCGCCGCCGUCCUGAUCAGCCAGCUUGGACGCGAGUCGGCGCCGUCGCGCAACGAAAUCGAUCCGGCAGCUACCGCGUCCGCGUUUCUCUUUAGUUUUUGGAACGAAACCGAAAUUCAGCUGGGAGCGCCACCGAGAGCGCAGCUGUGCGUCCCUGCGAUGUCCGGGCACGGCAUGUCGUUUCAGGCUUACGGCUGCGGUGAUGGGAGUCUUUUCCUUAUUAACCCUGAGAGCGAGUGACCCCGGUCGCUACGGUGGCUCUUGUUUAAUUUCUGCGGUGAAGCCGGCUCAGGGAUUUCACCCAGCAGCCCUGAGGGGAGUACGGAGGACAUGAGGGGCCUGAGGGGCUCAGAGGAGAGGGCCUGGCUGGCUCUGCCGUGCUCCUGACUCUCCCAUGAUAACCCGCAGUCUCAGGUUUUAUCCCUGGUACCGUGUCAUCUCUUCAUUGUUUAUUAAAUCAAGGAAAAUCUUCCCUAA